CGCAUGGUGCUCGUUCUUAUGCUUGUGGUGUGUCUGGUGACGAAAUAGUUUUACUUUCCACCCGGUCUUUUAACUCCAUCGAAAUACUUUGUAAUAUAAUCCCUGAAGUCUUCUGUCUCUAGCUUCCAGAGAUUCUACACAAAAACCUACCAUUUCGUCAAACAUGAGACUGAAAUAAAGAUGUAGGAAAAUUACAGUACUUAAAAUGAACACAAAUCGGCAGAGUAUGAAUAAUUCGUAUUUGAAUUGUUCUACGGACGGUAAUAUAUAGCAGUCUUUGAUACGAGAGGAAAUAAAUGUUAAAGUAAUUUAGACUGAUGGUAAAGCUCUGCGUUAGCGUGCUAAAGUGCGCCUGAAGUUUGUUGUCAUUUAUUACCCUUAUUACCAGUUCCUCGUCAUUCAGCAGCCACGGCUGGACAGACACCGUCAAUUUCGCAAUAAUAUUACCAUAUUAAAAAUAAUUUUUUAAAACCUUCAAUUUAAACUGUGGUCUCAUGAUUUGUAAGCCCAGAAGCCUAACAGCUGCUGUGUCACCCAGUGCUCAAGUCUCACUUAGACUGCAUAUCAUCCUCUGUGUUUUGUCGUCAUUGAAUUGAAUUGAAUUGAAUUUUAUUUGAUCCAGUAAGAUUACAUUGUGUACAGUAAAUGUACGUGUAAUAUAGGACAUGUCAAAGUGUUAACAUUCCUUAUGUCAUCAAUUUCCAUCUAGUUCUUGCCCUCACUGAAUGGGACGUCUGCUUGUCGAACAGCUUGAAGUACACUCUCCCCUUUUGAGAACGAAGUUGUGUCUGCAAACUGCCAAGUGUGCCCAUUGGAGCCUAUGUAAUUAACGAAAAUUAAGAACAACAAGGGCACUAUUACGGAACCCUAUGAAAUAGAAUGUUUUUAUAUUCAUUUCAGCUGAUUCUGCUACUUGUACUGAUACAGUGAGUCAUCUGUUAUUUAGGUUGGAUUUGAGAGUAUGUAGAACAGCUCCCCCAGUACCAUAUGAUUUUAACUUGCUGAGCAGGGCCAUAUGUGGGAUACAAUCAGAUGCCAUAGAAAGGUCACAGAGUACCAGUGCUACGGACUCCAUUUCUUCAAAACCCUGACUUUUUUUGUGAGAGUCAAGUACUGUUGUUGUAGUCAACUUACCCUUCUGAAAGCUAUACUGUGUAUCGUAAAAGGGGUUAUUUCCUUCAAAAUAACUUAAUAGCCCCUUUUCCAUAAUGGACUCUGUCACCUUUAGUACAUGACAUGGAUGAAAUUCAAUGCUUGUUCGUGACUCCAUAGGUAAAGAAAAACACUGCUGUGGAUGAAUAGUCAGUACACCAUCAUACACAGUAUCUGUUCAUGUUUUGUAAUUGUAUUAGUAAUGACCUGUUGGAAUUUAAAAUAAAAUUAUGAUUAUUAUACCCAGAAAGGGCAGCCUUUUACUAUUAUUGCCACAUAUGUUGUAGCAUAUGAACUGAAUAAUUCAUUCGACUCUUUGCAACAUCAAUACAUUUCGCAUAGGUUUCAGCACUCUGAUGUGCUGCUUGCAUUAUCGU